UGGGGAAUAUUGCACAAUGGAGGGAACUCUGAUGCAGCGACGCCGCGUGAACGAAGAAGGCUUUCGAGUCGUAAAGUUCUUUUAUAUGGGAAGAUAAUGACGGUACCAUAAGAAAAAGCCCCGGCUAACUACGUGCCAGCAGCCGCGGUAAUACGUAGGGGGCUAGCGUUGUCCGGAAUCAGUGGGCGUAAAGGGUUCGCAGGCGGAAAUGCAAGUCAGGUGUAAAAGGCAGUAGCUUAACUACUGUAAGCAUUUGAAACUGCAUAUCUUGAGAAGAGUAGAGGUAAGUGGAAUUUUUAGUGUAGCGGUGAAAUGCGUAGAUAUUAAAAAGAAUACCGGUGGCGAAGGCGACUUACUGGGCUCAUUCUGACGCUGAGGAACGAAAGCGUGGGUAGCAAACAGG
rnacentral:rRNA from 1 species